rnacentral:lncRNA from 1 species
CCGGGGUGGCCGGACCAUGCCACCAACGACCGGAGCCGGUGUCAUGGGAGUCGGUGGGAGACGCGCUCGGAGAGAGAGAGAGAGACGAUGCUGGUAGUAGGCGUGGUGGGGAGGAGGAAGCUCAGGUGAUUGGUAUUUAUAGGCAGCGGCAGUCUCCGAUUCCUGGGCGGAGACGGGGAUGUAUCAUCGCAUUUUUGAGUCCUGGUACUGCUCGGAAUCGAAGUAGAUUC